rnacentral:rRNA from 1 species
AACGAACGCUGGCGGCGUGCUUAACACAUGCAAGUCGCACGAGAAAGUCCCGCAAGGGAUGAGUAAAGUGGCGCACGGGUGCGUAAUACAUAGGUCAUCUACCUUCCUGAUCAGCACAACCUCGGGAAACCGGGGCUAAUUCUGGAUACGUCCCUAGAAACGUGAAGUUUUUUUGGAGAAAGCAGGCCUCUACUUGUAAGCUUGUACGGGAAGAUGAGUCUAUGGCCCAUCAGUUAGUUGGUAGGGUAACGGCCUACCAAGACGAAUGACGGGUAGCUGGUCUGAGAGGAGGACCAGCCACACUGGAACUGGAACACGGUCCAGACUCCUACGGGAGGCAGCAGUGGGGAAUAUUGGACAAUGGGGGAAACCCUGAUCCAGCAACGCCGCGUGAGUGAAGAAGGCC